rnacentral:lncRNA from 1 species
AAACUUGUAGAUUAGCAUCUAUAUUUCACUUAUGCUGCAUCUGAAUAUCACUGUCUGUGAUACCUCACACCUUCAGAACUGUAUUCCUUCUGAACUUCGAUUAAUCAACGUCUUAGUCGGAAAAUUUGUGCACUAGGAAACCUUUCAUUCUCGUUGAUUUGUGCCUGGUCAUUCUGCAAUUGUUGUCAACUUUUGUGUUGUACAUACAUGCAUUAUCAUUUUCUUGUUAGAAGGGUAAGUUAGUGGAAUGAGAUAUCAACCUAUGUUUCGCCAAUCGUCAAAAAUUGAUGUAAGGUUGGACCUUAUGUAUGGCUUCUUUUGGUAGCUAUCUUUGUGGAAAUAGAGGGAUUGUUGACUCUCAUUUUCAUGUACAACUUGUCAAAUUAUUGCUUGUGGAAUGUUUUAUAAUCACCCUAUUGAACCCUUCUAUAUUAUCUAUAAUCUGAUCUACUUUUUCUCUUCCGCAGCUCUUUUCUUUUUCCAAAGGGAAACGACGGCCUCACUUACAAGUUCUUGCUCGAUCAAAAAUAUAUGACAUGCGAAACCAUAGCUUUGCCGACUUUAUGAGAUCUAACUUUCAUCGUGACAUUAUUGACUCAGGUUUGUGCUUUUUGCAGUUCUUUUUUUUUUUUUUUAACAACGAGAGAAUAAGGGCUACAAACGAUAGGUCCGCUCUGAAAAGCUGCAUGUUUUUCACCCCCUAUUUGGUUGGCAUGCAACAGCCUUCUUGAUUGUAUAUUAACAGUAUAUGAUCCAAUUUUUGAUGAUCAGAUAGCUAACAUCGAAAGAAAAAUGAAAGCAUUAACCUAUUAAUAAAAACAACCAAAAAAGAUAUGACCCUUUUAUUAUAAAAAAACUAGAGAUCAAAUCUCAUAUCAUCUUAAUCAAACCAUAGCAAACUGAACCCUGGACAAGAUAACAAACAUAGCUUAAAAAACUAUGGAGUAUCCACACACCACGUAGACCUAGGCAUAUGCUAAAAAUAACAUAUGCCCUCACCGUAACCAUAAUAAUAUAGUAGUAAUAAUAGUAGUAAAUAAAAUACUAAGGAACAGAAUAAACUCAACCAACUUUAAUAAGACCCCCAUCAUUCAUCAACCCCAUCUUCACUAAAAUUCCUCAGAAAGUUUCCGGUAUAAUUUACUCUUCAGCUUUCUCCACUGGAACUGCUUUCUCUUCAACAGAUUCUGCUGCUGCUACUGGUUCCUCAGCUGGUGCAUUUAUAGUUUCCUCAGCCACUGCUUCUUCAGUUACUGGAGCUGAUUCCUCUGCUACUGGGACAGCUUUCUCUGUUUCUGGUUCCUCAACAGGGGCUGCUUCGAGUUCAACCUCGUCGACUGGGGCUGCUACCUCUUCAACAGGACCCACAGUUGAUGGCUCUUGUGUUUCUGUGGUUGCAGGUUCUGCUGCAGCCACGGGUUCUUCAGCAGCAGGGGUUGCUUCCUCAGCGGGAGCAGGCUCUUCUACUGGUGCUGCUGCUGAUUCGACGACGGAUUCGCUUUCUGCUACUGGGGUUGGUUCCUCUACUAUGGUUGCCUCUGGG